GGCCGCCGCAGCCCCCGGCCCGGCGCGGGGGGGGCGCGCGCCGGCGCGAUGCAGCCGCGGGGCCGCGCGGGGUCGGGGGCUGCGGCCCGGGAGGAAGGAUGGGACCGCGGCGCCCGGCGUCCUCUGCCCCGAACGGGCUUCUAAAACAGCUGAAUCCGGGACCUUGAGGAAUGUCAUUCAGUAGGUGCUGAACUAACUGGCACUGAAAGGAACAGAAAAAGAUGGCAGUCCGUUUUUGAAAUAAUUAAACACGUGGACUCUCGCUGAUAAGAAACCAUGUCUAAAAAAGGACGUAGCAAGGGCGAAAAGCCUGAGGCACUGAUUGUUGCCCUACAGGCUGCCAAUGAGGAACUCAGGACCAAACUAACAGACAUUCAAAUUGAGCUGCAUCAGGAGAAAUCUAAGGUUGCGAAACUUGAAAGAGAGAAGACUCAAGAAACAAAGCGUAUCCGUGAGGUGGAGCAGCGCAAGCAGACAGUGCAAAUCACAGAGCUAAAAGCCAAACUCCAUGAGGAGAAAAUGAAGGAGCUGCAGGCUGUGAGGGAGAACCUCAUCAAACAGCAUGAGCAGGAGAUGACACGGAUGGUGAAAGUCCGAGACAGUGAAAUCCAGCGCCUCAAGUCAGCGCUGUGUGCGCUGCGGGAUGGGAGCAGUGAUAAAGUAAGGACAGCGCUGACCAUUGAGGCUCGUGAAGAGGCCAGAAAACAGUUUGACUCUGAGCGCCUUAAGCUUCUGCAGGAAAUUACUGAACUGAAGUCUGCCAAAAAGCAGGUAGAUGAGGCCCUUAACAAUAUGAUCCAAGCUGAUAAGAUCAAGGCUGGAGAUCUUCGGAGUGAACAUCAGUCCCACCAGGAAGCCAUUUCCAAAAUAAAAUGGGAGAGCGAAAGGGAUAUUCGCCGCCUGAUGGACGAGAUCAAGGCUAAAGACAGGAUCAUAUUUUCCUUGGAGAAAGAACUGGAGACACAGACAGGCUACGUGCAGAAGCUGCAGCUGCAGAAGGAAGCUCUGGAUGAGCAGCUCUUCUUGGUGAAGGAGGCAGAGUGUAACAUGAGCAGUCCCAAGAGAGAGAUCCCAGGAAGGGCUGGAGAUGGCUCGGAGCACUGCAGCAGCCCUGAUUUGCGCAGAAACCAGAAGAGGAUAGCAGAGCUGAAUGCCACAAUCCGGAAGCUGGAAGACAGGAAUACAUUGCUUGUUGAUGAACGAAACGAACUGUUGAAGCGUGUCCGAGAAGCUGAGAAACAAUGUAAACCUCUUCUGGAAAAGAACAAGUGCCUCACGAAGAGAAAUGAUGAACUUAUGCAGUCUUUGCAGCGCAUGGAAGAUAAACUCAAAGCAGUCACUAAAGAAAAUAUAGAAAUGAGAGAAAAAAUUACAUCACAUCCUCCUCUAAAGAAAUUAAGAUCUCUCAAUGACCUGGAUCAGGCUAAUGAGGAACAAGAAACUGAAUUCUUGAAGCUUCAAGUCAUAGAACAACAGAACAUAAUAGAUGAGUUAACAAGGGAUAGGGAGAAACUCAUUCGUCGCAGAAAGCAUAAAAGAAGCUCAAAGCCAAUUAAGAGACAUGUGGUGGACACAUUUUUUGGGUAUGAUGAAGAUUCUGUGGACUCUGAAACAUCUUCUGUGGCCUCAUAUAGAACAGACAGAACACCAGCAACCCCAGAUGAUGAUCUGGACGAGGGUUUAGCAGCAGAAGAAUCAGAGCUGCGGUUUCGGCAGCUGACAAAGGAAUACCAGGCCCUGCAGAGAGCAUAUGCACUUCUGCAGGAACAGACAGGAGGCAUCAUAGAUGCUGAAAGAGAAGCCAAGGCUCAGGAGCAGCUCCAAGCUGAAGUGCAGAGAUACAAAGCCAAAAUAGAAGAUCUGGAGAAAACUUUGGCACAGAAAGGGCAGGACUCGCACUGGGUGGAAGACAAACAGCUUUUCAUUAAGAGGAACCAAGAGCUUUUAGACAAGAUAGAGAAACUGGAAGCAGAAAACAGCCGUCUGCAACAGGAGCUGCAGGAUGCCCGAGACCAGAAUGAGCUGCUGGAGUUCCGUAACCUUGAGCUGGAGGAAAGAGAGAGACGGUCCCCACCAUUUAAUCUGCAGAUUCACCCGUUCUCAGAUGGUGUGAGUGCUCUGCAGAUCUACUGCAUGAAGGAAGGGGUUAAGGAUGUCAGCAUCCCAGACCUCAUAAAGCAGUUAGAUAUCCUAGGUGAUAAUGGGAAUUUAAGAAAUGAAGAACAAGUGGCCAUAAUUCAGGCUUCCACUGUAUUGUCCUUGGCAGAAAAGUGGAUCCAGCAGAUUGAGGGCGCUGAAGCUGCUCUGCAUCAGAAGAUGGUGGAACUGGAAAGUGAUAUGGAGCAGUUUUGCAAAAUAAAAGGUUAUUUGGAGGAAGAAUUAGACUACAGGAAGCAAGCUCUUGACCAAGCAUACAUGAGGAUCCAGGAGCUUGAGGCCACCUUGUACAAUGCUUUGCAGCAAGAAACGGUGAUAAAGUUUGGAGAACUACUUACUGAAAAACAGCAGGAAGAGCUGAGGACAGCAGUAGAAAAGCUAAGACGUCAGAUGCUGAGGAAAAGCAGAGAAUAUGAUUGUCAGAUUCUUCAGGAGAGAAUGGAGCUGCUCCAGCAGGCUCAUCAGAGGAUCCGAGAUUUAGAAGAUAAAACUGACAUCCAAAAGAGACAAAUUAAGGAUCUGGAGGAAAAGUUUCUAUUUCUAUUCUUGUUCUUCUCUCUUGCCUUUAUUCUUUGGCCUUGAUGUCAAUGUGCCUCUUGUAAAGAGUGCCCGACCACACAGAUAAAUCCUUAUAAAGGCAAAUGCUUCCACCCCAAAUGAAGAGAACAUUGUUUACACCUGUUUUAAAAAGUAUAAAAAUGAAUAACUUGUAGCCAAGACUGCAACCACCUUGUACUUUAAAGCCAUCACUCGAGAUUUGUCACUUGACAGUUCCUGUCUGAAGCUAUGAUAUAUGCUGCACCUAAUGAAAUUCUGUAUGUUGAAAUUACAAAAAGGGAAGGAAAAUAAACUGUGAACCUGCAUCACCAAGGAAGAACUUAAAGGGAAGGGACCACUUUCAGCUGAUCAAGUCAUUGUGUCUUGGGCAUGGAACCAAAGUUAUGACAGAAAAAAUCUAUCCCUGCUGUGCAGGGCAGUCAUUUUAAAUGUGACACUGUCAUCCCACAAACGGAUCAGAAGGUAACAGGACAGAGCAGGAGAAACACCCAAGAGCUGUGGAGAGAUGCUGGCAACAGAACAUUCCGCUUUCGCCCUGCAGGAACUCAUCUCCGUCUUUGGUUUGAACCUCAGGAACAAAUGACAGCUGCAGGGUGGGGGGAAGAAAGGAAAAAUGCAUUCUGGGUUAUUGCCAGGAUGGGCAGGACAGGCCACGUUUUGCACUUGGGGCCAUAACAAAGUACCACCUUGCUCGACAAAGAAAGAGAAAAAGAGGGUAAGGAGAAUUUCUGACGAGCUGUAGCCUUAUCUCUCUUCGCACUCCCUCCACAAAGAACAGCCUGUCCAUUGUCAUAUACUUUUCAUACUCUUCAAAGAUUGCCAUUGAGAUAAUAAUGGACACACUUGGUUUUGCUGUUUGAACAAUACACUGAGGAUCACUGGAUUGGACCUAAAGAGCAGCCUCUGUGAAAGAAAAGCAAUGUGUUGGAGGACAGAGUGGGGAAAAGCCAACCGCCUUGUCCAUGUGGUAUGAUUGACAAAGCAUCAGCUUCCAACUGUUCCAUCUCAGCUUGGAACAAAUGUUUUGGUUUGGCUUGUCAAACUGAUGUUGUUAGCUGGCUUCCUGAUCAAUGACACAAAAACCAAAAAUGGGGAAGAGCUGUGUGAACACAUCCUUAUUAGCAGUAAGAAGUGUCGCUAGUCUGUUUAGAUUUUUCUACGGUUAAGUAUACCUAGAAGUAGUCUGCAUUUCAAAGCAUUACUUACCUCUCUUAAUCACAAAGCCUGUGGCAUCUCCUGAGGUGUCACAAGUCCAUGCCCCUAUAGUCAGUAAGAAACAAACCCUGCGCUGUGGAGGUCCUGUGCCUGCAGGGAGCAAAGCCGCCUGCUGCACCCAGCUUCCCUUCUCACUGAUGUGCUGUACGAGCGUGCACUUCUCUGGGCCUCUGUCCACUUCCUUGGAGACAGUCGUGCCUGUUCAGACUUCAGGCUCCUGUGGCAAGGCUUCUUAUGUGAGCUGUGUCUUCCACAAUGGAGCCUUCAUUUUAACUGGGAGAAAUGGAUGUCUGUAUUACAGAACAGAAAACUAAGGGCCAGAACACAGCCUGUGCUUUACUUAAACCUUCAAAACAGGGCUCACGUCUACCGACAUCUUACGCACACUGACUGCCCAUCGUAAGCUUUAAAAGUGCUUUAUAAAGACUCUGUCCUUUGCUUGUUUACUUUUACAGAUCAUAGAAUCAUAGAAAUAUUAAGGUUGGAAAAUGCCUCUAAGCUCGUCCAGUCCAACCAUAAAAUGCAGCAACUGAGGCACAAAGCGGUGAAGUAACUUGCCACGGCAGCUGAGCAGGUCACAGGCACUUUCUCAGCCAUAGCAGGGAUGAAAUUCCUCUGGUGUGGGGAGUGACUGCCUCUCACAGAUAGUUUUGGCCAGAAUAGCUUUUAAUCAUUAAUGUCUGUUCACCCAGCUGGAUUGCAGUGUUGGGCAGACUCCCAACAUCCUUAUUUCUUGCCUGCCCUGAGACUGUGCUAAGUCUUCCGUCAAAGGUUAGAAGCUAUUAGCAAGUGUUUUUUUCCCCAGCUCCUUAAAAUUAAUUUAAAUUAGAGUGACAGCAUCUUCUUGCAGCAGUCGUUUUAAGUCUGGUAAUGCAUUUUGCACCAGCUGUAUGUUUGCUGGUUCAUCUUUUUAAAAACAGGCUUGUAGGCAGAUAUGCUAAAUGGACACAGGGUUGUUGCAUGCUCUUUUUUCAAAUUAUUUUUCCCCUGCAGAAGAACCUGUGCGUAAGGUUGGCCCAAGCCUCCCAUGUGCUUUCCAAGGGUGUUGCUAGCAGUUCAGUCCUGAAGCUCUGGAGUCGGGCCCCUUGAGUCUUGUCCCACACCUGUGACAUGUUUAGAUCAGUAAGCAACUUUACAGCACCUUGUUGGCUACAAAAAUUAGGGGGUUCAUUUCUGGUUAUUCCCUCUUCCCCCUUUCACUCCUUUUUCCUCUGUGGCAGCACCAGUUCACUUCAUACCACUUGGCUGCAGUGUCCUACAAGUAAGUACAGGGUGGAAACUGUUUUCCCUAGCAUUAGCACGGUGAUUAAAACACUGAACUGUCCUCGUGGAAGAAUGAUCAGCUCCUGCUUUCCCUAACAGUGCAAUAACUUCCACCUCUGCUUUGGUUAAAAAAAUAAGGAAGGCUAGAAAGGUUUGUUUCAGGCAGGGAAGGUUCAUGGCACAGAAGGAAAUGCCCGGUUUCAGAACGUACCUGAUGGGUCUUAUGGCAGGCUUCUUCAUUUAGGCCCUCUGAGCCACUGCACAUAUUUUAGGUCAUUUAUCUGUUUUGCCUGAUCUCCCCUCCCUCAUACCUGUACAGAUGCGUGCAGGUGCUCCUCUGACUUGGGGGGUUGGGGCGGUAGACAAUCCAGUGCCAGUUUCUUGGCCUGCAGACUUCUAAAAGAUCACUAUGUGCCCUCCAGAGAGCUGAACCACAGCUGUUUGCUCCCUUGCAGCAUAACAUAAGCCAUGACUCAAACACACUUGCUGAUAGGAGUAACUCAAACCUUCUUCUGUCAGCUAGAUCAAAAUGAGUUUGCUUUGUGUGUAUAUAUAUAUACAUGUAUCUAUAUAUGGUAUAUAUGUAUAUGUACAUAUAUAUACAUGUAUAUGCAUAUAUCUUUUUCCUGUUGUACAUGGUGAAUCAUUGCUAUAGCUUAUGAAAAUAUACUUCCAACCUCAGUAUGGGGAACUGAAUCAAGACUUGUUUAGCUGCCACAAUGGUACAUUCCUAGUGGUUUAGCUUUAUAUCUCAUGAGCAACUGAUUUUUGGAUCUGCUUUUCUGAGGUCUCCUUCCCUCUCUGUCCUGAAGCCAUUUAUCCAGGGCUUUCUGUUGUUCCUGACCUUCCUUGAAGCAGAGUAUUGAGAAUCCUCCCUCAUUUUACUCACUGCAGCCAACCUCUAUGCCCCAAAAUCAACCAGCAAAACCAAAAUCAAUUUACCGCAGCCUUUGAGGACAGCAUAUGUAGCCCUGGGUUCCUCCAUCUGUCCUAUGCUGCAGUAGGAGGACCAGCUCUUCAGGCAAUCCAUCCCAUCAAGGCAGCAGCGGAGCCACAUAACAUAGUGCACAUCAGGUUGACCAAAACCUGAUGUGCUGCUUUUCUCCACUAACCAAACCAGGAGAUUUUGAAGACUAUUCUCUCAAUUUCAGCAUUUCUGAUGAAGGCUUGGUGAGGCAAGGUGAGUUCAGGCAGUGGGCGCUGCAGAAGGGAAUGGCUUCCUGCAGUGUUGUCAGCCUGGCUCACGGCUUCAUCCUCUCUUGUUGAUGUGCCUGGACCACAUAGGCUUCCUUUGUAGAUGCGCUUCAUUUUCCAGCUCCCUGGCCUCAUCUUGGUGGGAGUCAUCCUCUGAACAUCCCCAAAGCUUUCCACUCCAUGACAUCCCAUGGGAACCACAUAGGCCAGGCUUCCCCAUGCACUAGGGCAUGGUUCAAUAUGCACCCACACAGCUGCUGGUGAUUCAAAGAGUUUUUCCUUUCCCCCUCCCUCCCUCCCUCACAUCAGCACCCGGGUGUUUUUAUAUGUACUUUUUGUUCCCAGUUUUUUUGGUGUCUGUUUCAGAACAGAAUUCUGAACAACUCAGCAGAACGACCCUUUGAUAAACACUGGACAUGUAUCUGUACCAUAUGUAUUAACGUGUAGAAGAGAAUCCUUACGAGAGACAAAAUAUUAUGCAGCCCUGCUUGGGAAGCCCGUAAUUCCAGAGAUGAAAGGCAGCACAGCUCUUGGAAGCUGUGUGCACUACAAAAAAAGACCUUUUGGAAGGAAGUUGCCAAGCUGCAAGUCUCUUGAGCAGUCCUCCUCACCAGUCUGCCGUUCUUCUCCCACAGAAGAGAUGAGCCGUGUUGCAGACUCUGCAUCUGUCUCGGCAGGCAUGGCCAGGACUUACGGCUGAUGUAGAAGGAACAAUGACUGCACGGGAAAAGAUUUCUGUGUUGUCUCUGCAGCCCAUGUUGGUGGCAGUAGCUUUCCAUUGUUAGGGAGAUUGGCUGAACGUAGAAAAAGACCUAAUAAUUGGCAAUGUGCCCUCUACUCUGUGUUGAGGGGACUGAGUCUCUGUACACAGCAGAAAAAUACAUUUCAAAGCCCCACUUCAACCUGGACGGAGGAGCAUCCCACAGCUUAUGCCACACUGACAAGGGGCCACCGUGCACUGUCUGCUCUAGUGUCCAGCCACCAAGUGACAGCUGUGGACAAGUUGCUUUGCACAACAAAGAAAAUCCUGUGGAAACCAAUUUAGAAGCCUGCAGCAGGACCGAGGCUAGGAAUGUAAUGAUUUCAAUGUGUACAACAGAUGGAGACUUCAGAGCAUGGAGCCUCUAAUCUAUGGAUUACACACUCCCCAAUUACAGACUGACACCAUUACUGAGAGGCACUAGCAGCCGAAGGAGGGAUCUUGCACAUCAGUGCUCAACAGCCAAAUGCCACACCAGGGAUAACAAGGGAAGGAACGGAGACUGGAAAAUGUAACUGUACCACACCUUUUGCUCAUGCAGCGUGGAAGUCACCAAGACUGUGUUUCAAUUGUGGUUAAACCAGCAGGAAGAGUUUAAAUGAGUGUUGUUGCUCCUGAUUUACAGGGGUUUAACAGAGAUGGCAGUCUAGCCCAUGAGCCCUGAGAAGGUGGGUAGAAAGCAGACAGUGAAGUGUUCCUGCCUGAACCCUGUAGUGGCUCAUUGCAGCCCCUCCGAAGCCAUGGGGAGAAGGCCUGUGUGGAAAGUGGCCAUGUCUAUCAUUUCAGUAUUUGAGUGCAAAACACGUGACAGGGAAGCUGUGACUCUACACAUUUAGACCUAUAAUGGAACAGGAGAAGGGUACUCACCUCCUCUACCCAUUUUAAAAUAUGACCAUGAGACCUGAGGAAAUUUUGAGUUACUUUGAUAAAAAUCAGACCAAAGCCUAAAAUUAUAGCAGAAAUAUAAAGUCUGACUGCCAAAAUUGUGAAAGGUAAAACUCACCCAUGCUUGGCUUCAGCAGCUGUAAAAUGACUGAAAUGCAAGCAGUCUGACGUGAAGUGGGAAACAGGAGGAAAGUCACUGGCAAUCGUUCUGGAAUUGGUUUCGUAGCUAUUGCCGAGUGCCUAGCUCAGUUCGCACCAUAAAGAAAUGCAACAUAGUGUGUAGCAAAAGCAGUUCAAGAAAAGCCUUCUCCAUUCAGAAGAAAUUAACUCAUCAGUUAAAUUUAGCAGUCCCACCAGAACUCAUUUUGUGCCAGUGAUACACAGAGCUCUGCCUGCUCUCUGCGUUCCACACUGCGAGUGCGUUAGCUGCGGUCUGCCGAAUGGAUGGCAUUUGGAUCCAUCAGCAGGAGCAGGAGGGAGUCUGUGGCCAUGGCAGACACCAGUUUCCUCCUGCAGGCAGCCACCCAGUGAUGAUCUAACUCCUCCAGAAUGCCUUUAAACGGCAGAUGCGCAGCCUGGUACCCACCCAUAGAAGACAUCUGCUGCAGAGAAAGUUGCCUCAUUCAGAGGCCACGCGACCCUUUGCGUGAG